UACGUAGGGUGCAAGCGUUAAUCGGAAUUACUGGGCGUAAAGCGUGCGUAGGUGGUUCGUUAAGUCUGAUGUGAAAGCCCUGGGCUCAACCUGGGAAUGGCAUUGGAAACUGGCGACCUAGAGUGCGGUAGAGGGUAGUGGAAUUCCCGGUGUAGCAGUGAAAUGCGUAGAGAUCGGGAGGAACAUCCGUGGCGAAGGCGACUACCUGGACCAGCACUGACACUGAGGCACGAAAGCGUGGGGAGCAAACAGG
rnacentral:rRNA from 1 species